rnacentral:rRNA from 1 species
CAGGCGCGAAAACUUUACAAUGCGGGAAACCGUGAUAAGGGAACUCCGAGUGCCCGUAAAAUCGGGCUGUCCAUCAGUUUAAAUAACUGGUGAAGAAAGGGCCGGGCAAGACCGGUGCCAGCCGCCGCGGUAAUACCGGCGGCUCGAGUGGUGGCCACUAUUACUGGGCUUAAAGCGUUCGUAGCUGGUUUGUUAAGUCCCUGGGGAAAUCUUCCGGCUUAACCGGAAGGCGUCUCAGGGAUACUGGCAGACUAGGGACCGGGAGAGGUGAGGGGUACUCCAGGGGUAGGAGUGAAAUCCUGUAAUCCUUGGGGGACCACCUGUGGCGAAGGCGCCUCACCAGAACGGCUCCGACAGUGAGGGACGAAAGCUGGGGGAGCAAACCGGAUUAGAUACCCGGGUAGUCCCAGCCGUAAACGAUGCGCGUUAGGUGUAUCGGUGACCACGAGUCACCGAGGUGCCGAAGAGAAAUCGUGAAACGUGCCGCCUGGGAAGUACGGUCGCAAGGCUGAAACUUAAAGGAAUUGGCGGGGGAGCA